rnacentral:rRNA from 1 species
CCCUUAGAUGUUCUGGGCUGCACGCGCGCUACACUGAAGUGUUCAACGAGUAUUCACCUUGCCCGGGAGGGUUGGGUAAUCUUUUGAAAACGCUUCGUGAUGGGGAUAGAUUAUUGCAAUUAUUAAUCUUCAACGAGGAAUUCCUAGUAAGCGCGAGUCAUCAGCUCGUGCUGAUUACGUCCCUGCCCUUUGUACACACCGCCCGUCGCUCCUACCGAUUGAGUGUGUUGGUGAGGAGUUUGGAUUGGCCUCGGAAGGUGGUUCGCCACCGUCCGUAGCUGAGAAGUUCUCCAAACCGCCCCACUUAGAGGAAGGAGAAGUCGUAACA